CUCCAGACUCCUACGGGAGGCAGCAGUGGGGAAUAUUGCACAAUGGGGGGAACCCUGAUGCAGCGACGCCGCGUGGGUGAAGAAGUCAUUCGUGACGUAAAGCCCUAUCAGCAGGGAAGAAAAUGACGGUACCUGACUAAGAAGCCCCGGCUAACUACGUGCCAGCAGCCGCGGUAAUACGUAGGGGGCAAGCGUUAUCCGGAUUUACUGGGUGUAAAGGGAGCGUAGACGGCGGCGCAAGUCCGGAGUGAAAGCCCACGGCCCAACCGUGGGACUGCUCUGGAAACUGUAAAGCUGGAGUGCGGGAGGGGCAGGCGGAAUUCCUGGUGUAGCGGUGAAAUGCGUAGAUAUUAGGAGGAACACCAGUGGCGAAGGCGGCUUACUGGACGGCAACUGACGCUGAGGCUCGAAAGCGUGGGGAGCAAACAGGAUUAGAUACCCUAGUACAG
rnacentral:rRNA from 1 species